rnacentral:lncRNA from 1 species
AGAGGGAUUGGAGACUAAGCCUAUCUUUAAAUUCAGCAGGCCCAGAAUUAAUCUUGUCUUUUAUCUAAACCAGUAGUCUGAAGAAAACUCGACUUUCUGACUAGAAAUUGCCCACAAAUUCAAACACAGUUGUGUGUACGAUUUCUGGAGGUUUGUGGCUACUCUGAGGUUCAUCCACAAUUCUCAGGGCAAGCUUGGCCUUCCACAUCAGUAGGGAUUCUCUGUUCAUUCUUCUUGGAAAAUAUAGCAUUGAGGAUUUAAAUACACAGUCCAUUUUUCCUUAAUGCUUGAGGUGGUUCAUUGCUCAAGUUAAUCUGUACCUGCCUUCGCUGCCAUUUGGAGGGAUCAACAACUUCGCAUGCGAUGCAAAUAAAGAACUGGUAGGGUCCAGGCAUUUUACAACUUAUCAAGAAACAAGCACUGA